UGGAUCAGUGUGGGACACUGCAGUUUGUGUCUGCAAGUGUUGAGUGACACACAAGAAAUGAUGUUUGGCCAGAGGAAUUAUAUUCCAUGACAGUUUUUCUAUUUUUGUAGACCUAACAAAGUGGUGUGGUAGGCUUACAGCCCUGAAUCUCCUGCAGUGGAAGUAUAGGCUCUGACAGCUCUGUGCAGACAUCUCUGAUCUGGUAUCCUCCAUCAAGCACUACAGAAAUCUGUGGAACUGUAUGAAGGAUUAAUAGUUUGAAUUUGUGCUGGAUGCAAGGAAAAUGGUAGUUUAUCUUAGAAAUGGGUAAUACUGCAGCCUCUCUGACAGCACCGGGGAUAGAUGGGAGCCAACCAUAUGUCACUAUAGCAUUUACAUGUACCAAAGAGGUUAUGCUCACUAAGUCCCACUAAAACAGCAACAGAAAUGAGCAGAGGCUUUAUUUGUUGAUUUUAAAAUGUAAGUGCAUCAGAAGGUAUCAUAAAUAUCUUUAUUUGAGGAAAGUGAACAAUGAAAUCAUAUUUGAAGCGUACCAAUCUCCUUCAAUACUUUUUAAUUUUACUUGUUUAUUGUCUAAUGAAAUAUUUCCAGACUGAAAUGUAGUUGCCUCAUCAGUAGUUCUGCUGGUCUGUGCUGCAGCUGUUUGCUGUGUUAGAAAGUUUCUAAAAUCAGUAACCUGGUAUGACAAAAUUGCUCUUGAAUAACCUAAGUGAGUAUCUGUCAUUGCAGCCCAGCUUUUCCACAAGAACAUGUCAUUUUGCACUGUACUGUAAAACAACAGGUUCUAUAGUAAGGAUCAUCCAUGGCUAAUGAGAGUAGCAGACCUUCAGCAGGUUGUUCAGUGUAUCUAGGAAGACUAUUUUGCUGUUUCAGGUUUUAGUCAAGGUUCUGACUAUGUGUUAGUGAAUGUCUUCACUGUGAGAUGUAUAAUCCAAGCUUCCUCGCUGCUUCAGAAAUCCUUGGUCUUUUUUUACUGGGGAAAGGGUAGAAGUUUAGUUUGUUGCAGGCUGGCGUGCACUUCGUAGAAGGAAUAUGCUGAUGAGUCCAAACUGCUGAAGUGGCUGAUUUUGGAGGAGGCUUUUGGCAGGUGCUUGGAAUUUCGCUGCCAUUCUCUUUGCUGAAACCAUUCAACAUGCUUGAACUUCCCAGCUGUCUGCAUGCGGCUAGCUCACAAGCUCCUUCCAGUUCCGUGUGUUGCAGGGUGCCAUUUCCCUUUGGAAUCAGCCUCUGAUUGUCAAAGCAGCAUGGUCUGUUCUCGCACUGGGAAGGAUCCCAGGUAACUCCUGGAGAAGGAGUUUGCCCCAGGCGGUGAAUUCCCAGCACUGACCAUCGACUCUGGGAGAAUCGGCUCAUGUUCAUCUACAAGAGAAGUGCACACAGGCACAUUACUAUGGCAGUCAUUUCUGUGGCAUAAGCUCAGGAACUUGAACAGAGAUUCAAUUCUGUGAAGCUAAUUGAUAGAAACAUAAGAUCAACAUUCAGUGAAAUGAACAAUCCCCCAAAACAACAAAAAGGAAUCGGCAUGGUGCCUCUCUUGAAGCGGAGCGUAAGAAGAACAAAGCUGCAAGUUACUCAAGGUGUAAAGAAACAAUAUUUAAAUCUACAGUUGCAUCUUUUUCCUAUAAAUAUAAGCAUACCUGUUUUAAAUACAAUAAUGUGUGAUUGCAGCUUUUGCUUCUGUUUUAU